UUGGUUUUACACAAUUCACUUAACAAAAUUACUGAACUGCCUUUUUAUACUUUUGACUUAAGACAUUUCUUUAACGUUUACCAUAAUUCAUUAUUAAAGAAACAAGGAAAUAUAUUUAAGCAUCAUACAUCAUAUCUAUAAAAAUUUAUUACAAUACAUAGGUUUAAUAAAACAGACUCAUAUGGCGUAAUCCUACAAUACGCCACUAUCCAAACAGGUCCAUUGUAUGCAUAGUUUUCCAUGUUUGUCGCUUCUCUAGCGUCCUGGCUUGUCCCUCUCGGUGGACACACUUAAACAACAACACCUGAAAUAUAAACAUAACAUUUUGUAAGUUCAGAGGAACUUAGUGAGAUUGGACACAAUAUUCCUUUUUAACUAAUCAUGUUGAAUUCCUCAUCUUGAAUAUUUGGAUUUCCUCAUAUCUAUCUUUGGUAGAUACCUUCACAUUGUCAAUUUAAUGAUCGCAUACUUAUACACCACUUACAAUUCUUAACGUAUCAUUCAUCUAACUGCUUGGCUAUCUCUAGAUCUUAACUGACGAUACUACCUUUUUCUUUUCUCUUCAGACAAUUUUAAACAGGUAUUCUAGAACAGUUAAUCGCAAACAUCAUUCUUAGCGAAUAUGUAACACCCCUAACCCAUAUCCGUCGCUGAAACAUGGUUAUAAAGCAUUAUCAAAAUUUACAGAUCAAAUACAAAUAUUUCAUAACAUUUAACAUUCAUGUUAGAUAUUAUUCAUAAAGUCCCUUAUAUGAGCCCUCGAGGCCCAAAAUAUGCAUUAGAAACAAGUCGAGACUAAAUUGGGUAAUUAAAGAAUUUUUCACGAAAUCUCAAAAUUUUUCCUAGGUGCAGGGGUUACACACCCGUGUGGUCAGGCCAUGUGGUUCACACACUGUUUUCAGGAACAUCAAUCAGAAACAAUCUAUCUAAAUGGACUUGUAUGAAUUGAUAUUAGAGACUCACCUUGCUGAAGGUCAAAAUCCUCAAUUUUGAACGCCUUUCACGAACCUGCAGCAUCAACUGCUUAAAAAAACAUGGAUUCACCAUUAAAACCCAUUUACAAACAAAUUGGUAGCAUCUCAUCUAUAGAUAGCCCCCAUGCAAGACCUCUUAAUCAUAACUUGCUACAUAUAUAUAUAUAUAUAUAUAUAUAUCAUAAUACCCUUACUCUUAAAAUGCAAAGUUAUCAGAAUUACUAAGAGAUAGAACAUCCUCUGAUUAUUCCCAAAAUUUUUAACUUUCAGUCUAAUGAGGAAAGAUGACAUUUAAAAGAAAGAA
rnacentral:lncRNA from 1 species